rnacentral:rRNA from 1 species
AACGAACGCUGGCGGCAGGCCUAACACAUGCAAGUCGAGCGCCCCGCAAGGGGCGCGGCGGCCGGGUGAGUAACGCGUGGGAAUAUGCGCUUUGCUACGGAAUAGUCUCGGGAGACUGGGGGUAAUACCGUAUACGCCCUUUGGGGGAAAGAUUUAUCGGCGAAGGAUUAGCCCGCGUUGGAUUAGGUUGUUGGUGGGGUAAUGGCCUACCAAGCCGACGAUCCAUAGCUGGUUUGAGAGGAUGAUCAGCCACACUGGGACUGAGACACGGCCCAGACUCCUACGGGAGGCAGCAGUGGGGAAUCUUAGACAAUGAGGGCAACCCUGAUCUAGCCAUGCCGCGUGAGUGAUGAAGGCCUUAGGGUUGUAAAGCUCUUUCAGCUGGGAAGAUAAUGACGGUACCAGCAGAAGAAGCCCCGGCUAACUCCGUG